AUAGGUCAAAUUCAGGAGCUUUCACAAUGUGUGAUUCGGAAGAUGAUUUUGCGUCCGCGAUGAACAAAAACGUCGCGGAGUCUCCCGAUAUAAACUCCAGUGUCAGUACUGUGAUUUCCAAGGCAGCGCAUUGGUGGUAGGUGUUCAUCGUGUAAGAUAACAUCCGGAGCACUCUCGUGAUGAACAGAGUUUCAAGCCUGGAAGUACCAGUAUGAGGCUGACACCGGAGCGGUGUACAACAUCGCUUCCAGCCGACCCCGGAGCGGUACAACCGCCCGCUAAUUGUGCUCCCGGUCCGGCGUGUACGCACCGGCGGGGACCGGGAAGAGGCGGCUCAAGUCGCAGGGCACGUGCAAGCUGGGCUGCCGCUGCACGUCGGAUGUCAUGGCGACUAUUCAAGAGGACGGCACGGUGCUGGUGACGGUGCACCAUUACGGCCACAGCAUGGGUAUUAACAACAUCCCACACGUCAGGAUCCCCAGCCUCCACAAAGCUGCCAUUAAGGAAAAGCUGCUGACUGGGGUGUCAAUGUCUCGCAUCAUUAAGGAUGUCCGUGAGGCGUUCGGGGCUGAAGCGGCAACAGGCACCAGUUCCAGUCGUCCAUAUUGGCUCCAGCGGCGCGACCUCCACAUGUGUCGGUCUGUCGGUAUCACGGCAGCGGAUGGCAGUGCAGUGAAGAACCGCAAUGAAGUCAUCAGUGUGCAGAUCUUCGCGGAGGAGAUACGAUCAUCGGAUCAGCAGCACCUGAUGGCCUUCAAACUUCCAGGUGAAGCGGACAGCAACGGCGCGCUCCGAGAUGAAGACUUCGUGCUUGCCUUCUGCUCACCAUCUCAGCUGGCGAAGUUCGUACAGCACGGUGCAAAGGUUGUGUGCAUGGAUGGCACGCACGGCACCAGCGGUGAUGGUUUAUUUGCCCUUCACUCGCUAAUGGCGCAUCCGUCGUUCAUUCACUAAUGCUUCGUACUUCCUUAAUUAGCAUAAUGCUACUAAUGUCUCGUGUAACUGGAGACGUUUUGGAUGGUGACAACUUCUCUCAAUGCAGUACACUUUAUCUGAUAGUUGAGACUACUUUCAUAACUGGCCAUAGGCUACCAGGGGCGCAAUAUGCAGAUAUGACGGAAUCAAAUAGCAACGAGGCUUCAAAAUGCAACAAAGCAACGGUAUCGUUAUUCGUUGGAUGUGUGUAAUGAAAGCAACGCUACACCUUGACUGCGCGAACCGCUUUUCGUUCACCUUUACGCUAAUUGUAAACGAUGAUGGAUACCAUGUGUCAGCAGUAGACCAGAUCUCCGCGAUGCUGUUGGUUGAACGAAGAAUGUAAACAGCAUCCGUCAGAAAACAUACACUUUGUCAGGAACAACCCGCAAGUGUACAGCGUACCAGUCCUUAGAUGUAAGGGAGCGGUGUGCUAUUGAGUCUCGUUUAUUAAUUUUUUUUAUUUUUUUCACACUUUUUUAACAUCACACAUCACACACACACAUCACAGAUCACACAUUUCACACAUUUCUUCAAGUGUGCAUAGCUAUUUUGGUACACUGCAGCACGAUGUACGCACGCUGUGUGGAAUCUCCAAACAUGUGUCACUGGGCGAGUUACAGUGUGCGUAUUUUUCCACUCUACAGGUCACGAUUUUCAUCUAAUAACGCUACUGGUGGUGACGGAGACGGGAGCCGACAUGCCAGUGGCCUGACCCAUCUUGAGCAGAGAGGACGAGCCUGCCAUAUCAUCCAUGCUGACUGGCCUGGUCCGCACCUGCGAGGAGCUGGAGCUGCCGUUUCCCACCGUCCGGUUUCUUAUGACAGACAAGGCCAUGGCCUUUUAUAACGCCUGGCUGGCGAGCACACGCCAGCAUGACACCCAACACAUCCUCGGCGCCUGGCACGUCCUGUAAGCAUGGAAGGGCAAGCUGGCGAUGGUAACCGUAAGUUGUUCUGUUCGCCACGCGAAAUUUGGACUGUAAUGCUUCAGGCACGCUUUUUGUGCAGUGGACACGGCCGUGACUCCACGAAGUAUUUGUAAACCCCAGAGUUAGAUUGUGUGAUAGUCCGACAGUCCAUGGGGACCAGCACUGUCUUCAUAACUUUUGCUCGGUGUUCCCUCAGUCAGUAUGUUGCUGCGGUGCCAGGUCGCCGAUAUCGAGACCUGUUUUCGGCCGGUGUACCUCACCUUUUCCAUUUUUACCGAAUGGGAAGGUGCAGCAACAGUGAGGCUGCAGCGUUCCACAAGUGUUUGUCCAAAUAGCUGUUAGUAGCUCAAAUGGCUUAUUCAUAUAUUUUGCUGGAAACGACAUGACCGUGUGGCCGUAAAAUGUUACCAGAAGUGUAGCUGACCGUGGCUAGCGGGACUUCCCGUUCAGCUGAGGUGUUGAGUCGCUUCAAAGCGCUGACAUCUCUGAAACGCCCGACCUCGUUCGGAGUAACCUGUAGUGAUAAAUGGCAAGCUCCCUUACCCGAUUAACUAUAAAAAACCUGUGGGGAUCCGUCAUGUGGAGAAAAGAGAUCGUCAAAGGUUGAUGUGCAAUCAUACGUGCUUCACGGAAUGCAUAAGUGUGCUCAGUUCAGUCUGCGUGAAUUGCAUUUGCCCUAAGCACGUGGGUUCGAAUCCCACCUUUGGCAAUGCUCUACUAGCCAGAGAUCGGCGUGCUUUUGGACAAUCGCUAUGUACGCGGACAUAACUAGUGUUUUAUCCACGGCGCUAGACAUACACUUAUAAUGAGCAUGUACACAUCAAUGAACUGGGUCAAUAUUUAUGAAUGGAUGAUUUCUGCAACGUGUGCUGCGCAGACGGAAAAUCGUACCGUACCGGUAACGGCCCUCCUCGGAUGAAGAUAGUGGCAUUUUUGAUGGGAAGAUGUUGACCAUGCUUACCAUAUUUAGGCUACGAGCGAUAACCUCUGCCCAUUUCAUGUCCGUCUCGUUUCGUGCACAGAAACUAUUAACUUCCGCUCGCCAGACAGCAUUAAUUGUUAUGCUUCCCGAGUUCUUAUACAUGAUAUUGUCAAAACUUAAAUUCUAACAUCCUAAUUCUAAGGUUGUGAUAUUGUCAAAACUCGACGUUUCAAGCUGUGCUUACCAUGGUUUGUGACCCUAUGACCGCUCGUGAUCGUCUCUGUUCACUGAUCUGAUCGAGCACCCGUAAGCACUGGUUUCAAGUUAUGUGUGUAAAAUAUGGCAAGACUAUCAAAGCACCAUGACCAGUAACCCCGCCCCUAUUCAGUUAAGAUGGAAAAUUUUCCAUUGCCAAUUUGUAACAAAAUUUUGAGAGCAUAGGUUGAAAUCAGAUACCGAUCUUCACCAACCGGCAUCACAGCAUCAUAUCAACGCGUAGAAGUAUGGGCACAUUAGUGCAUCAGGCGACGCGCUCGCGAAUAACAUGGAACCUGCCCGUUUUGUAGUUUUUUUUAAAAUUUGUGUGGCCUUCAGGCAACCAGGUCAGGUGGUAUCUUGAAAAUAGCCGCACAUCGCAGGUGGAGGGGCUUCUAAAAUUCGUUUAACGAUUUAGAGACGUUAUAAAGCAUAAGGUGUAUUGUAGAUCACCGGGAGCAGGGCCAGUACCUGGCGGAGGGCAUCUGAGAUUAACGUCGGUAUGGUCUUCCUUGAAUGAAUUGAUUUAGAUUGUUUCACGUUACCGAGACCAGAGAAAAAGAGCUUGCAAACAGUGCGGUGCAUAGGGACGCAGACAUGUAACAUAGAGCGAGCCAUUGCCUGUCAGACACAUUUAGAGGAUACGGCCACUUCUAGGUUCAGUGCACUGAUGUAGCCUUCCAAAAGGGUUCCCAAAGGCGAUUGGCUGCUUUCGCUUUCACUUGCAGGCCUUCUAUAACUUGAUGCACUCAACUGUGGAAAGGCGUCUUGCUCCUUGAAGGGUACGACAAAAAUCAGCGUCAUACUUCAGCGCCAACCGGCACCAGAACCCUAUCUCACGGCUCGCCACAGCUCGCCGUGGGCAGGCACCCCGAAGUUGUUUCGUGCCCAGGAGUGAUUUUAGGUUAAAUGGCAAACAUGUCGCUGGCGACGACGUUGCGUUUCAUAAGCACAUCCUACAUGCUAUCUUGAGCAACCGUAACCCAGACAUGAGACUUGGCCAGCACUGUCCAGCUUACUGCUUUACUGUUCGACGGUUCCGCUUAUUAUCAAACGGCGUAUAACCCAAAAGCAGGGUUUGACCUCACGAUUCCUGAUUUAAAAUGUCAAAAGCUACGGCCAUUCCUGGCUCAGGACUGGUGCAUUGUGUGGUGUUUCAGGCUGCACGAAAUCGUUUUCCGCUUUGGAAAAACGCGAAUAGUUUUGAAGCUAAAGGAAGACAAACUUACAUGUUGUCCCAUUGGCUUGGUCAGGUCCAUGAAAGGUCAUGCGAUGCCCGAUGAUGGCAAUCUGAUAUAGUUUUACGCGUGCUGCCAGAUGACACUUUUUUCUUCAUUACUUUGUCGACUUUCAGAAAUACCAGGGUGUCUGCAGAGCAGUCUGGCCCGGAAAAAACGAGACUAACUCUGGCCCGUGAUGCCCAAAUGUCCCGUUGCAUAAUUUGCAAGCCAUUUUCCUGCUUCCCUUCCAAGCUCUGAGACCCGUGUUUUUUCCAGUCCGCAUCCUCUAGGAUCUGGUCGCUGGUCAAGAAGUUUAUGAUGCCCUCUGGGGUAUCAUGCACGAACCGGUGGAGGAGAAGGCGGUGACUGCUGCUCACGAGCUGGCCGACAGCCUGAUGACGCACGCCAACACCCGGGCCUUCGGCGAAUACCUCCGAAACACCUGGGUCGGCUGCACCCGGAAGUGGGCACGGGGACUCCGGAGCGCAGAAGGCAUCUCCACGGACAUGCACGUGGAGGCCUUCCACCGGGUCUUGAAGUACCAAUAUCUCAACGGAAGGAUCAACAAGAGAGUUGACAAGUGCAUCGCAGCUCUUCGCAAGUUCGAAACCGACCAGAUGGUGAAGAUGGGCCGCAGGCAGUUGCAGCAAGCUCCAAGCCUGCACGGCGAGCAGAUCGCCAAACGGCAUGCCACAGCAGCGGCCCUAGUGGAUUCCGGCAAACCCAGCGCCGUAUCCGUUCCGGCCAGUUUGCUGCCUACCUGGAAGGUCGCCAGCGGCGACGCCACGCCGGACCACUCCGUGAAACUGGAACACCGCCGUUGCGCUGAUCAGUCAGUAUGCAGCCCACGUUCACAUCCUGUCGUCAGAAGCGGCCAAGAUCGCAGUCUGCCCAAGUUAGACCCGAUGGCGCAACAGCUCGGGCCAUCGUGGGCUCUCUGUGCGAUGGCGAUGUUGGCCGGGAGCAAGUCCACUGUAUCCACGUGGAUCACGCAUACCAGGCGGUCAGCAGGUGAUAGAUGCCAGCUGUUGGCGUGGGCUGGUGUUUGAUAUGUGUGUGUAUGAAACUUCAAGUGUGGUAAUACAAUUGGGAGUGUACCCAUAACUGACAGGUGCAUCAGAGUAUCAUGACACAUUGUCAUGGUGAGCUGCGGUGAAGUCAUGCCAGAAUGCAAAUUUAUGAAGAACAAAGCCAUAUAUCAUGCAGAAACCAUGCAGAAACAGUCACAACAAUAGCUCACUUAUCAUUAACAAGCCAGUUAUAUCAGUUGUUAUCACCUAGCACAAUGUCACUCAGAGCCAGCAUAUAGCCAACAUAUCUUACAUGCAACAAUCUACAGCUACCAACCUGCCAACAGUCCUUCACCAGUCACUUACCAUGCAAUUUAUACUACCACAAUGCAUAUGUUAGUCUACAUCAUGUUGUAUGCAAAUACAAAAAGAGUCCAAAGAGUGGCCAACAGUUUGCAAUUUUGGUUGCCAUUUUAAGCACAUACAAAAUAAAAGUUGCAUAGGUGAUAUUAUGUAACAUGAAAAGUGAAUAAAUCACACAAUGCAGCUACAUCAUUGCACAGUGGGCCAGGGAAGUGAACAGUCAGAGAUAAUGACCUGGCAGUUGGUCUGCAUGGGUCCUUUAAGGAAUGGUGGAAAGUUUUACAAGAAGCUAGAUGUACACAAUUAUCCCAGGACAGCAUGUUUACAUGUUACAUGUUCUAUCUUCCUAAUCAUAGAUAGGUAUUUAGGACAGUGUGGGAAAAACCUCCGUUUUCUGGUGGAUGUGACACCAGGAAAUUUUGUA
rnacentral:lncRNA from 1 species